rnacentral:rRNA from 1 species
GACGAACGCUGGCGGCGUGCUUAACACAUGCAAGUCGAACGCUGAAGACCUGGCUUUUGUUGGGUUGGAUGAGUGGCGAACGGGUGAGUAACACGUGAGUAACCUGCCCUCUUCUUUGGGAUAACGCCCGGAAACGGGUGCUAAUACUGGAUAUUCACUGAUCUUCGCAUGGGGGUUGGUGGAAAGGUUUGUUCUGGUGGGGGAUGGGCUCGCGGCCUAUCAGCUUGUUGGUGGGGUGAUGGCCUACCAAGGCUUUGACGGGUAGCCGGCCUGAGAGGGUGACCGGUCACAUUGGGACUGAGAUACGGCCCAGACUCCUACGGGAGGCAGCAGUGGGGAAUAUUGCACAAUGGGCGAAAGCCUGAUGCAGCGACGCCGCGUGAGGGAUGGAGGCCUUCGGGUUGUAAACCUCUUUCGCUCAUGGUCAAGCCGCAGCUGUGGGUUGUGGUGAGGGUAGUGGGUAAAGAAGCGCCGGCUAACUACGUG